rnacentral:rRNA from 1 species
GACGAACGCUGGCGGCGUGCUUAACACAUGCAAGUCGAACGGAAAGGCCCUGCUUUUGUUGGGUGCUCGAGUGGCGAACGGGUGAGUAACACGUGAGUAACCUGCCCUUGACUGUGUGAUAACUUCAGGAAACUGGGGCUAAUACCGGAUAGGAUCUCCUGCUGCAUGGGGGUGGUUGGAAAGUUUCGGCUGUUGGGUAUGGUCUCGCGGCUUAUCAGCUUGUUGGUGGGGUAGUGGCUUACCAAGGCUUUGACGGGUAGCCGGCCUGAGAGGGUGACCGGGGACAUUGGGACUGCGAGACGGAGCAGAAUCCUACGUGAGGCAGCAGGGGGGAACAUUGCAGAACGGGCGCAAGCCUGAUGCAGAAGUCCUGCGAUCGGGAUGACGGCCUUUGGGUUGUAAACAGCUGUCGAAUGUGAUGAAGAGUGAGUGACGGUAAUGGGUAAAGAAGCACCGGCUAACUACGUG